UGGGGAAUAUUGCACAAUGGGCGCAAGCCUGAUGCAGCCAUGCCGCGUGUGUGAAGAAGGCCUUCGGGUUGUAAAGCACUUUCAGCGAGGAGGAAGGUGGUGAACUUAAUACGUUCAUCAAUUGACGUUACUCGCAGAAGAAGCACCGGCUAACUCCGUGCCAGCAGCCGCGGUAAUACGGAGGGUGCAAGCGUUAAUCGGAAUUACUGGGCGUAAAGCGCACGCAGGCGGUUUGUUAAGUCAGAUGUGAAAUCCCCGGGCUCAACCUGGGAACUGCAUUUGAAACUGGCAAGCUAGAGUCUCGUAGAGGGGGGUAGAAUUCCAGGUGUAGCGGUGAAAUGCGUAGAGAUCUGGAGGAAUACCGGUGGCGAAGGCGGCCCCCUGGACGAAGACUGACGCUCAGGUGCGAAAAGCGUGGGGAGCAAACAGGAUUAGAUACCUCGUGGUAGUCCACGCUGUAAAACGAUGUCGAUUUUGGAGGUUGUGCCCUUGAGGCGUGGCUUCCGGAGCUAACGCGUUAAAUCGACCGCCUGGGGAGUACGGCCGCAAGGUUAAAACUCAAAUGAAUUGACGGGGUC
rnacentral:rRNA from 1 species